AGGCUACGCGUGGAAAACGUGUUUACAUUCACCAGUCGUUGUGUUCCAAAAUUACUUAAAUGCGGAGGGAAUAGUUAUCCAAUUUCUUUCAUUCACGAGCAGGGAUGUGUUGCUUUGUUGACGCUACAGGGAAGUUUCCUGGUUUAAAGAAAUGUGUGGCUAUAGGCAACAGCUACUUCAACAUGCUUUGCAUGAAAUCGUGCGUGUGUAACUUAGUUCUAGUGUGAGUGUGUGAUAUUGUACUCUGUGCAGUAUUUACGAAGGGACUGGUUGGUUUAUAUUUUUGUUUAUGUAAAUGAAAAAUGUAAAGUUGUGUGUAGUAGUGAGACAAAAGCCUUUCAUACAUUUAUUUAAGGUUGUCUGUUGUCUGUUUGAAGGUGUGUCUGCAAAGCUCUGAAACGUUUUGUCUUUUUUUAUCUCUUCUGCUCUGGAUAAGGUGGACUUCUCUCCUCUGACCGGUUACCAAGACAGCUGGGUGUGUAGGAAACUGGAACUAAGUCACUGAAGAAGUAAACCGAUGAAAACCGAUUUGGAUUGUCUGAGAGAUGUAACUGUAGGGCACAAGUAAGAGGAGAAGAAUGCUGCUCAGCUGGGUCGGCGUCGGCCACACUACUUAUUCAAGAAGCCCUUGGAUAUCAUCGGCAUGUAUGAAGCACAGUCAUUCCGGUAGUCCGUUCCUCGAUGGACGUGAUGACCUGGCACCAAAACCGCUUAAUGUGUACGGAGCUGUGUCUGCAUCGAGGGAAGAACGCGGCACUGAAAUGACACAAAUGAAAGAAGAUUACUUCUGCUCUGCUGGGUCUGUGACACUAUUUAUCCGAGGAGUCCUCAAACAUCAGGAUGUAGGAAGACACAAGUAAAAGGAGAAGAAUGCUGCUCAGCUGGGUCGGCGGCC